CCCUUAGAUGUUCUGGGCCGCGCGCGCGCUACACUGAUGCAUUCAACGAGUGUACCUUGGCCGAGAGGCCUGGGCAAUCUUUUGAACGUGCAUCGUGAUAGGGAUAGAUUAUUGCAAUUAUUAAUCUUGAACGAGGAAUUCCUAGUAAACGCAGAUCAUCAAUCUGCAUUGAUUACGUCCCUGCCCUUUGUACACACCGCCCGUCGCACCUACCGAUUGGAUGGUCCGGUGAAGCCUCGGGAUUGUGGCGGUUGCCUUUAUUGGUGGCCGCCGCGAGAACUUGUCUAAACCUUAUCAUCUAGAGGAAGGUGAAGUCGUAACA
rnacentral:rRNA from 1 species